AACGCGAAGAACCUUACCUGGGCUCGAAGCACAGUGGACCGGGGUAGAAAUAUCCCUUUUCGCAAGAACUGCUGUGGAGGUGCUGCAUGGCUGUCGUCAGCUCGUGUCGUGAGAUGUUGGGUUAAGUCCCGCAACGAGCGCAACCCUUAUCGUUAGUUGCCAGCGGGUCAAGCCGGGCACUCUAGCGAAACCGCCCCGGAUAACGGGGAGGAAGGUGGGGAUGACGUCAAGUCCUCAUGGCCUUUAUGUCCAGGGCUACACACGUGCUACAAUGGUCGGUACAAACCGUCGCAAACCUGCGAAGGGGAGCUAAUCGGAAAAAGCCGGCCUCAGUUCGGAUUGGAGUCUGCAACUCGACUCCAUGAAGCUGGAAUCGCUAGUAAUCGCGGAUCAGCACGCCGCGGUGAAUACGUUCCCGGGCCUUGUACACACCGAUAGC
rnacentral:rRNA from 1 species